AGUUAAGUGAUUAAGCGUACACGGUGGAUGCCUAGGCGGUAGAAGGCGAUGAAAGACGUGAUAGCCUGCGAAAAGCUCCGGUGAGGUGGCAAAUAACCUUUGACCCGGAGAUGUCUGAAUGGGAAAACCCAUCCUUUCGAGGAUAUCCCUUUAUGGGAGGCUAACCCGGGGAACUGAAACAUCUAAGUACCCGGAGGAAAAGAAAUCAACCGAGAUUCCCUAAGUAGCGGCGAGCGAACGGGGACCAGCCCUUAAGCAAGGACUAAGUUAGCAGAACGCUCUGGAAAGUGCGACGAUACAAGGUGAUAGUCCUGUAUGCGAAAGCUUUAUUCUUGUGAAAACGAGUAGGACGGGACACGUGAAAUCCUGUCUGAAUAUGGGGGGACCACCCUCCAAGGCUAAAUACUCUCUACCGACCGAUAGUGAACCAGUACCGUGAGGGAAAGGCGAAAAGAACCCCAGGAGGGGAGUGAAAUAGAACCUGAAACCGUGUACGUACAAGCAGUGGGAGCAGACUUGUUCUGUGACUGCGUACCUUUUGUAUAAUGGGUCAGCGACUUACUGUGUGUUGCAAGGUUAACUGAAUAAGGGAGCCGUAGGGAAACCGAGUCUUAAAUGGGCGAUAGUAGCAUGCAGUAGACCCGAAACCGGGCGAUCUAUCCAUGGCCAGGAUGAAGGUUGAGUAACAUCAACUGGAGGUCCGAACCCACUAAUGUUGAAAAAUUAGGGGAUGAGCUGUGGAUCGGAGUGAAAGGCUAAUCAAGCUCGGAGAUAGCUGGUUCUCCCCGAAAACUAUUUAGGUAGUGCCUCAUGUCUCACUGUUGGGGGUAGAGCACUGUUAUGGUCUAGCGGGCCGUCAAGGCUUAGCAGCCCAUUGCAAACUCCGAAUACCAACAAGUGCAAUCAUGGGAGACAGACAGCGGGUGCUAACGUCCGUUGUCAAGAGGGAAACAACCCAGACCGCCAAUUAAGGUCCCUAAACACUGCUCAGUGGGAAAGGAUGUGGGAAGGCUUAGACAGUCAGGAGGUUGGCUUAGAAGCAGCCAUCCUUUAAAGAAAGCGUAAUAGCUCACUGAUCGAGUCGGCCUGCGCCGAAGAUUUAACGGGGCUAAGUAGUGUACCGAAAUUGCGGAUGCCGUAAGGCAUGGUAGGGGAGCGUCGUGUAAGUCUGUGAAGGUGUGCUGUCAGGCAUGCUGGAGAUAUCACGAGUGCGUAUGCUGACAUAAGUAGCGAUAAAGGGAGUGAAAAGCUCCCUCGCCGAAAGCCCAAGGUUUCCUACGCAACGCUAAUCGACGUAGGGUUAGUCGGCUCCUAAGGCGAGGCCGAAAGGCGUAGUCGAUGGGAAACAGGUUAAUAUUCCUGUACUUUUUAUAACUGCGAUGGAGGGACGGAGAAGGCUAGGCCAGCAAGGCGAUGGUUGUCCUUGUUUAAGGCGGUAGGCAGAAGACUUAGGCAAAUCCGGGUCUUUAAUGCCGAGAACUGAUGACGAGUCCAUUAGGACGAAGUGGUUGAUGCCCUGCUUCCAAGAAAAUCUUCUAAGCUUCAGGUUAUAAAAAACCGUACCCCAAACCAACACAGGUGGGCAGGAUGAGAAUUCCAAGGCGCUUGAGAGAACUCGGGUGAAGGAACUAGGCAAAAUAACACCGUAACUUCGGGAGAAGGUGUGCCCUUGAAGGUGAAGGCCUUGCGCUGUAAGCUUUUGAGGGUUGCAGAGACCAGGUGGCUGCGACUGUUUAUUAAAAACACAGCACUGUGCAAAAUCGAAAGAUGACGUAUACGGUGUGACGCCUGCCCGGUGCCGGAAGGUUAAUUGAUGGGGUUAGCGCAAGCGAAGCUCUUGAUCGAAGCCCCGGUAAACGGCGGCCGUAACUAUAACGGUCCUAAGGUAGCGAAAUUCCUUGUCGGGUAAGUUCCGACCUGCACGAAUGGCGUAACGAUGGCCACACUGUCUCCACCCGAGACUCAGCGAAAUUGAAAUCGCGGUCAAGAUGCCGUGUACCCGCGGCUAGACGGAAAGACCCCGUGAACCUUUACUAUAGCUUUGCACUGGACUUUGAUACUAUCUGUGUAGGAUAGGUGGGAGGCUUUGAAGCAGGGACGCCAGUUCUUGUGGAGCCAUCCUUGAAAUACCACCCUGAUCGUAUUGAGGUUCUAACCUCGGCCAGUGAAUCCUGGCCAGGGACAGUGUAUGGUGGGUAGUUUGACUGGGGCGGUCUCCUCCUAAAGAGUAACGGAGGAGCGCGAAGGUACCCUCAGCACGGUCGGACAUCGUGCAAUGAGCGCAAGAGUAAAAGGGUGCUUGACUGCGAGACAGACACGUCGAGCAGGUGCGAAAGCAGGUUCUAGUGAUCCGGUGGUUCUGUGUGGAAGGGCCAUCGCUCAACGGAUAAAAGGUACUCCGGGGAUAACAGGCUGAUACCGCCCAAGAGUUCAUAUCGACGGCGGUGUUUGGCACCUCGAUGUCGGCUCAUCACAUCCUGGGGCUGAAGUCGGUCCCAAGGGUAUGGCUGUUCGCCAUUUAAAGUGGUACGCGAGCUGGGUUUAGAACGUCGUGAGACAGUUCGGUCCCUAUCUGCCGUGGGCGUUGGAGAAUUGAGGGGGGCUGCUCCUAGUACGAGAGGACCGGAGUGGACGAACCGCUGGUGUUCCAGUUGUCAUGCCAAUGGCACUGCUGGGUAGCUACGUUCGGAAAAGAUAACCGCUGAAAGCAUCUAAGCGGGAAACUUGCCCCAAGAUGAGUUCUCCCUAGACUUUAAGUCUUCUAAAGAGCCGUUCAAGACCAGGACGUUGAUAGGCAAGGUGUGGAAGCGCAGUAAUGUGUGAAGCUAACUUGUACUAAUUACUCGUGAGGCUUAACUAU
rfam:Thioalkalimicrobium aerophilum AL3, complete genome.